GACGAACGCUGGCGGCAUGCCUAAUACAUGCACGUCGAGCGAACAGAUGAAGUGCUUGCACUUCUGACGUUAGCGGCGAACGGGUGAGUAACACGUAAGGAAUCUACCUAUAAGCGGGGGAUAACAUUCGGAAACGGGUGCUAAUACCGCAUAAUAUCUUCUUCCGCACGGAAGAAGAUUGAAAGACGGCUCUGCUGUCACUUAUAGAUGACCUUGCGGUGCAUUAGUUAGUUGGUGGGGUAACGGCCUACCAAGACGAUGAUGCAUAGCCGACCGGGGCGGGUGACCGGCCACAUUGGGACUGAGACACGGCCCAAACUCCGACAGGAGGCAGCAGUAGGGAAUCUUCCGCAAUGGGCGAAAGCCUGACGGAGCAAUGCCGCGUGAGUGAAGAAGGCCUUCGGGUCGUAAAACUCUGUUAUAAGAGAAGAACAAAUUGUAGAGUAACUGCUACAGUCUUGACGGUAUCUUAACAGAAAGCCACGGCUAACUACGUGCCAGCCGCCGCGGUAA
rnacentral:rRNA from 1 species